UAGAGAGGACCACAUAUAAUCAUGUUAUGUUAAUAUCUUUCUCGAUCGCACUUGGGUUCCAGCUUGGGUGUUUAUUAUAUGCCUCCAUCAUUAGCUUGGACAUUUCUGCAGGCUGACACACUCUUUGGAGAUGCUUGGGGCCCAUGUGGGUUAAGCAUGUCUUGAGACAAAGUAGUAUCUAAGUUGUGAAAAACGCUUGUGGUAUGGCGUAGCGUGCAAAAUUUGAGUGCAUCUUGGUCUGGUAGGACAAUGGCUUGAGAAGAUGGUAGCUAGCGUGAUACGUAUGCUGGCAUCAGGAGCCCGCAAAGCUUGGGUCAUUCGUGUGACACAUAGGCAAUUGUGUGGAAGACAGCUACGAUAGUGUGGCUUCAUCUAUGACAUUCCAAAUUUCACAUGGAGUAAGAAAAGAAGUGCAUUCACAGAUAAGAGAGGCUUGUCCCCUAAAGCCGACACAUUUCAUUUUGAAGGUUUUGUUUGCAAAGGUUCAAGCAUGAGUUGUGAUGUAGUCAAGGAACUUUUGUCCAAAGUCCCAGCUAAAUUAGGUAGUGAAACAUCUGGCGGCCUUGAAUUAGAUCCUGGGUUUUAUCAAAUGAGCAUGAGGGAGAGAAGGUGAAGUUAGUCUCUGUUGUGCAAAUGGACUGUUGGAAUUAUUAUUCAUUAGAUAUUCAAUGCUUGUACAUGCAUUAUAUAUGGUGGAAGCAUUCUACUGACUAUUUUUUUUCUUGGCACUUUAUUGUAUCAUCCACGAGUCUUAAUUCCUUCUAUUUCUUUAGAAUGAUGCAUCUGUUCACUGCCUUUUCUUUUAAUAGUUCUUCUGUGAAAGGAAUAGGAAGAUAUCUUACUUAAUCAAUUGGCAGCAGCUUUGCGGUUGGUAUCAAUUGUUCAAUCUUUCAUUCACUUGGAGCAGAAAGUCCCAGAGCCCUUGAAGCAUGAGGUAGAGUCGAUCUCUCACUUGUUUCUAUUUAAUAAUAAGAAGGCACUGAUGGUAUGUAGCAUGUCUUAUUUUUGUCAAAGUGUUUGAGAAAACCUCAAUGAUGCUGCUCAUGGCAUCUGCUAUAGGAACUACUUCUAGAACUUGGAAAUUUUUAAAUCAAUUCAGUGUGGUGCUGCAUCUGAAGCGUUUGUAAGAGAGGACUGGAGGAGCAACAGCUGAUCUCCAUUCUUUGGUGCAUCAGAUUUGAGUACUUCUUAUGGGCACCGUAAAGAUAUACAGAAACAGAUUGUAACCCUGAUAUCUGUCUGAUUGUAGUUGCCGCAUCUGUUACUGUGGAUUAAAUUGGAUAAGACAGGUAAGUUUUUUUUCUUCCCUUCUUUAGGCUUCUAGAAAUAUAUAUAUUCACACAGUACAUGGGUUUUCCUGUGUCUUGAUUAGGUCUGCAUCUGCUUAUUUGAAGUAUUCAGAGACUUUUGGUAGAUAGUCUGAGGCUAUCCAGCUUCUCUUACAAACAAAAGUAAAUUCAGCAGGAGUCUGAGGAGAAACUAAUUGCUGACUGUUGACGCCCCACUUUUUCAUGAGGUUAGGCAUUUGAACUCUAUGGCAAAUCGUACAGAGUAUUUCCUAAUUGAUGAAAUAGUUUCUAAAGGUAAUGCUCGCGUUCUCCAGCUCAGUGAUGUCUGGUCCGAUAUUCCUCUAGAGAUGUGUCGGAAGGUUUGUUUGCUAUAACUAUUUUUAAGCAUCUGCAUCUUAAGACAUACUCCACCAGGUAUUAACUUGUCUUAACUACAUCAUUUUAUUGAUGUGUAAGUGAUGAUGUCAUUGCAAAGUUAACCUAAAUCAUGCGCCACUGCUGAUGCAUUAUGCCGUGUCUCAUAUUAAUGAGGUGUGCUGUGCUUCAUGGAUUGAAUUGUGGCAAUAUUACUGAAGUUGAAAGUCAAACUGGACGAGUCUUCUUAUCUCCUGUGUGCCAAUUUGUCAGUGGAUCUGUCUUUGUAUAUUACUUUUUUCUACUAUCUGUACACAAUGUUUUUGGUGGAGUGCAAUCUGCAUGCUGUCAAAAACAGAUCUUGGGUCUUGCAAUGACACAACCAAAUGAAGUGACUGUGCACUAGAGAUGCUCAUGCAAGAGCAUUCUGUUGGUUAAGUAUGCUCUUCUUAAGUCGCAAUGCAGCACCUGUCAAGCUUCGGUCAAGGAGAGUGUCCGGGGAUAAACGCGAUCCAAGAAGACUAAAAGAAUGAUGCCCGGAUGUAAGUACUAGGCUGAGGCCAAAAUAAGUGGGUUAUUUUUGAGAGCUUGUGAGGCCAGAGCCUAUCUUAUUUGACUUUACAAAGGUCCACUCUUCACUUGCAAGGUGCAAUUCGAGCUGUUGAUUCUUUUCUUUGUUUUUCUUUUAUCUUUUAGUUCGGGGGUCAUCCAACAUUUUUUUCUUCAGUUUCUAUGCGAAGGUGAUGGUGAAUUGUACUAAUGUCUCUUUUGAGCUC